CCUACGGGGGGCAGCAGUGGGGAAUAUUGGACAAUGGGCGAAAGCCUGAUCCAGCCAUGCCGCGUGUGUGAAGAAGGCCUUCGGGUUGUAAAGCACUUUCAGUGGGGAAGAAAGCCUUGGGGCUAAUACCCUCGAGGAAGGACAUCACCCACAGAAGAAGCACCGGCUACUCCGUGCCAGCAGCCGCGGUAAUACGGAGGGUGCGAGCGUUAAUCGGAAUUACUGGGCGUAAAGCGCGCGUAGGCGGUCUGAUAAGCCGGUUGUGAAAGCCCCGGGCUCAACCUGGGAACGGCAUCCGGAACUGUCAGGCUAGAGUGCAGGAGAGGAAGGUAGAAUUCCCGGUGUAGCGGUGAAAUGCGUAGAGAUCGGGAGGAAUACCAGUGGCGAAGGCGGCCUUCUGGACUGACACUGACGCUGAGGUGCGAAAGCGUGGGUAGCAAACAGGAUUAGAUACCCUUGUAGUC
rnacentral:rRNA from 1 species